UCGGGAUGUACCACGCAGCCCAGUGGCGGGGGGGACGCCAAGGACGUGGUCACUGCGGGGAGCCCCCGCCCCCCUCCGUAUUGGCCUCGGGUGGAGGUUGCGGGUGGCGCAGCAGGAAUGGGGCUCGCGGUCUGGGGGGCGCGGCGUGUCCACCCCGCCCCCUCCCCAUCCCCGACUUCCGAGGGGGUGGGCCAGAGAAGGGAGCUCGGGGUUGGUGCCGGCGGCUAGGGGGCCCCUCCCUUGCACCUCCCCUCUACCCCCCCCCCCCACUGGACUUGGUCGCGCCCGAAGUGUAACACUUUCUCUUUGUCGGAGGCGCGCUGCCGGUUCCUGUGCUUCAGCUCCAGUUGCGGCGGCGCCCGUGGCAGCCCUGGCGGACGCAGGAGCGAUGGCAGCGACCGAUAUAGCUCGCCAGGUGCUCCCCAUUAAGCAAGACCAGAUGGAGACCCAGUCGGGCUCCCCAGACAACCCGUGGGCGUUCAUCCAGAGGCUUGGUGAAGGUUGCCGAACUGUCCCCCUGGCUGGACAUGUGGGUUUCGACAGCUUGCCCGACCAGCUGGUGAAUAAGUCUGUCAGCCAGGGCUUCUGCUUCAACAUCCUGUGCGUGGGAGAGACAGGUCUGGGCAAGUCCACCCUCAUGGACACCCUGUUCAACACCAAGUUUGAGGGUGAGCCCGCCAACCACACCCAGCCGGGUGUCCAGCUCCGAUCCAACACGUAUGACCUCCAAGAGAGCAACGUGGGACUGAAGUUGACCAUUGUCAGUACAGUGGGUUUUGGGGACCAGAUCAACAAGGAGGACAGCUACAAGCCCAUCGUGGAGUUCAUCGACGCGCAGUUCGAGGCCUACCUGCAGGAGGAGCUGAAAAUCCGCCGGGUCCUGCACUCCUACCACGACUCCCGCAUGCAUGCCUGCCUCUACUUCAUCGCCCCCACCGGCCACUCGCUAAAGUCUCUGGACCUGGUGACCAUGAAGAAACUUGACAGCAAGGUGAACAUCAUCCCCAUCAUCGCCAAAUCUGACGCCAUCUCCAAGAGCGAGCUGACAAAGUUCAAAAUCAAAAUCACCAGCGAGCUGGUCAGCAACGGGGUCCAGAUCUAUCAGUUCCCCACAGACGACGAGUCCGUGGCAGAGAUUAACGGGACCAUGAAUGCCCACCUGCCCUUCGCUGUGAUUGGCAGCACUGAGGAGCUCAAGAUUGGCAACAAGAUGAUGAAGGCGCGCCAGUACCCUUGGGGCACAGUGCAGGUCGAGAACGAGGCCCACUGCGACUUCGUGAAGCUGCGCGAGAUGCUGAUCCGUGUCAACAUGGAGGACCUCCGCGAACAGACCCACAGCCGCCACUAUGAGCUGUACCGCCGCUGCAAGCUGGAGGAGAUGGGUUUCCAGGACACCGACCCAGACAGCAAACCCUUCAGUUUACAGGAGACGUACGAGGCCAAGAGGAAUGAGUUCUUAGGAGAGCUCCAGAAGAAAGAAGAGGAGAUGAGACAGAUGUUCGUCCAGAGAGUCAAAGAGAAAGAAGCUGAACUCAAAGAGGCUGAGAAAGAGCUGCAUGAGAAGUUUGACCGCCUAAAGAAGCUCCACCAGGAUGAGAAGAAGAAGCUAGAAGAUAAGAAGAAAUCCCUGGACGAUGAGGUCAGCGCCUUCAAGCAGAGGAAGACAGCGGCCGAGCUGCUGCAGUCCCAGGGCUCCCAAGCUGGAGGCUCGCAGACGCUCAAGAGGGACAAAGAGAAGAAGAAUUAACUCUGCUGUUUGCUGCAUGCUGCAUGAGGCCCGGGGUCCUGUAACCCAUGGCUGUGUACUGAAUAGUAUUCCCCGCUACAGCACCACCGGACGCCAUUUAGCCCUUUAAGCCGAGGUUCCUCUUUUAACUGACAGCUUCCCUUUGGAGUGCCAGGCAACGCCCCCCCCACUCCCACCCUACCCCACCCCUGCCGUGUACUUCCACCCUUUUUGAGUUCUGCCUCUCAAUCCCACUCACCCUGACCAUCACCACCACUACCUUUUGCUGCUUCUUCCUCUUUUCCUUUUUCUCCUGCUCCUUCUCCUCUUUCUCCUUUUCCUUCUUCUCCUUCCUCUUCCUCACCCUCAUCCUCCUUCCUCCUCAUCCCCUUCUUUUUGAGGUAGUUUUUGUCUCUCGAUGACUUUAUUGCAGAACACACAUUGAAUUAGGCGAUGCCAAAGAUUUGGAGGCCCUCCCAUUCUUUUAAUGUUAGAUGAGGGGAGGGGGCUUUCCUUUCUCUUUCAUACUAGAUAAUAAAUGGGGUGGGCGGGGAGAGUGAGAGACGCAGAGCCUGGCACCCACUUUUUCUGGUGUGCAGCUUGAGGCUGUUUCAUGAGUGAGCAGCUGAGAUCAGGAUGAGAAUGAAGGUGAAAAGGUCACAAUGGGAGGGGCUGAGCUAAUUUGCCAGAGACAACCGCAGGCGAGAAGGAGGGACCCCUAUGCUUUAAGGCUCAAGAAGAAGAAUAAGGAAAAAAGAAAAAAAAAAGACCCCCAGAAUCCUCAGCACAGAAGGCCUCCACGUUAGAGCAGUGAAGCCUUGAUGUUUUGAAACUUCUACUUACAUUUUCAAAGCUGCUACCCAGGAACUCCAAACUCACACACCUCCAUGGGGUCUCUACUCACCCCCACCCCACCCCCCAGGUCAGUCUUUGCAUUAGAAAUAGGUGACCCCUCGCCUCUGCAUUUAGUUACAGAAUGAAUUGCUGGUGACUCCCAAGACAGAGAGGACCUACCCUUAUCCUAAGAGGAAAGCCUAAGGACUUGCUGGCCUGUGUGUGUGUGUGUGUGUGCGCGGGGGGGGGGGGGGGGGGGGGCGCGGACCCUCAGGUUUAAUUCUCAUAUAUUUUUUCUUUUUUCUCAUUUGAUAGGACAGAGAGAAAUUGAGAGGGUGGGGAGAGAGAAAAAGAGACACCUGCAAACCUGUUUCACCACUUGUGAAGCUUCUUCUCUGCAGGUGAAGACCAGGGGCUUGAACCCAGGUCUUUGCUCAUGGUGGCUUAUGCAUUCAACCUAUGCCACUGCCCGGCCCCAUCUCAGGCUUAAUUCAAUGUCUCCUCACUCCCGAUCCAUAUUGCAAAUGGACUGUGUGUGUGUGUGUGUGUGUGUGUGUACCUGGCCUUUUGAUGUGCAGAGAAACCCAUUAGUUAACAGGAAUAGGCUUUGGGGUAGCCCCCUCCCACCAUGGAAGGUUAGCUGAGGAUGGGGUGGGCAAAGCAGAGAAUUUCAAGCCAGUCUUCCAGCCAGGAGUCAGCAGACACAUCCUAGUGGGUAAGCUCCCCUGGAAGAGUGAAACAGGGUGUAGCAGGUGUGCAAAAGUUUGGACACGUGAAAAAGAGGGGGGGGAGAGAGAGACAGACAGACCAAAGCUUCCUCUAGUGCACUGGGAGCUGGGCUUGAGCUGGGGUCUUACACAGGAUAAAGCAUUGCACUAUCCAAACGAGCUAUUGCCAGGGCCCUCAAAUAAACCUUAAAUCAACUUAGUUUUGGUACAGAAACAUCAAGUCUGUGAGUGAACAUAAGACCUUUACAAAGUUAGCCAAGGCCAUGGGAAGGAUUUUUUGCAGAACCAUUAUUAUGCUAUCUCCUGAUGCCUAGGAUAUAUACAUAUUUACUUUAAAAAAAAAAAAACAGAGCACUGCUCAGCUCUGGCUUCUGGUGGUGCUGGGAAUUGAACCAGGGACCUCAGAAGCCCAGGCAAGAAAAUCUGCAGAACUAUGAUGCUAUCUCUGACCCCCUAACCCCACCUCUGCUGCCAUUGAAGGAUUUUGAUGUUUAUUUCUGCUGAGUAGCUUUUCUCACCGUAGGCAGAAAGGCUCUCCUGUCUUCUGUGAGAAGGCUUUUGAAAUAUAAUAAUUGUCAUUUUUUAAUACCUAAAGUAUUCUAACAGAGUGAAAUUGAAACAAAGCCAGCCAUCAGGAAUGGUCUGUGCUUUCAUUCUUCCCCAGAUAGGAGUGGACUGGCUUUUCUAAAAAAUCUCUGCCGUGUGUGUGUGUGUGUGUGUGUGUGUGUGUGUGUGUGUGUGUACACACACACAUACACACACACCCAACACUUUCUCUUAAGCCAAGAAGUCUGCUUUCCACCCUGCUUUGCAGCCCCCUUUUUGUCUUCUGCUGUGACCAUUUGCACUCCCAAGAGGCAAAACCAGUGUGUGGUAUCCUUCAGCCUUCAGCAGAUUCCCUCCACCAGUGGGGGGGUCUACCAGUGACCCUGCUUCUAACCGGAUGGCUCUGUGCUGUGUCCCCUCACCCCAUCUGACCUCGGGAGGGGGGUCCCUCUUCCUCUGGCUAACUCUGUGUUUUCUCUCUCUUUCUCUCUCCCUCUCCAGCUUUUUUUAAAAUCUUGUCUCCGGCAGCCGCAUUCAGUCUCACGGAGAAGACUGUGUCAUUCUAGAAGAGUUAGGGCCACCCCUGUUGUCUUCAACCAGACACCCACCCACACCCUCACCCCCACCCCCCAAGUGUGUGCAAGUGUGCGUGCACACACACAGACACACACACACACACACACCAUGCUCCACAUGUGUCCCUGUGUCCAGGCAAGAAUCUUUCUUCCUGACUUCCAUGGUCUUUGCGAUUGGAAGUGUCUUGUGCAGGGAAAGAAGUGUCCAAGUUGGAGGAUGGACCCAAUUGUCACCUCCGAGAGACAACUCAUUGCUGGAUGACUCACCCUGAGUGUAAGUCGCUGGGGCCCGAAGACCCCAGCGGUGGGGUUAGAAGUGCUGGCCACAGGUUUGGGUGGUGGAGCCCUUUUUAUUUAUUUAUUUUUUUUUAACGAUUCUCUGACUUCAAUGGGUUGACUGUCUCCGGCCACUAUUAGACCUCUCUGAACGGGACGAGCAAGCCCGGUGACAUCUCGAACUUUCUUCAGCAGCUACAGGCCUAAUGCCAAUUUCUAGGCAGGGCGGAGUUGGAUUCACUAGUCUGAUACUCAGGUGGAGCAGGAAGAGAUGGUGGAGGCAGGGAGAUUGAAGCUUAGUGAGAACCUCUCAGACCCAAUUUGGGGUUUGCAGAGAGGCUUCUGCUCAACCUGUGGAGCCAGAAGGAGAGCUUUGGGUUGAAUUCUUGGUUGGACUUUUGUCAGAAUGCCCUGUGAGUGUGUCCCAUGCUGUCAUCACCAAUCCACUGUCUCUGGAGUGAGCUUCUUUGCAUGUUUUCCAGAAUCUGUCUUUUUUUUUCUUCUCCUCUGUUCUUUUUUCUUUUUCUUCUGUUCCUCCUCUUCCUCCUCCCCCUCUUCCUCUUCCUUUUUCCUCUUCUUCUCAUUCUCCUCCUGCUCCUCCUACUCCUCCUCCUUCUUUCUCAAAGGUGUGACCCAUCAUUUUCCUGUGGGGUUUCCAUUCACUGGGAGAGACAGCCCGAAACCAGCACUGUUGGCUUGAAACCUUUCUAAUGUCCAUGUUAGUUUUCAAUAAAACUCCAAGAAAUGCUCA